rnacentral:rRNA from 1 species
AUUAGAUACCCUAUUAUUUUUAAUGUAAAUAAAAUAAACCUGAGUACUAGUAGCUAUGGUCUUAAAACUUAAAGAAUUUGGCGGUAUUAUAGUCUAUUUAGAGGAAUUUGUUAUGUAAUCGAUAGUCCACGUUGAACCUUACUUGUAUAAUUUUUUGUAUACCGCUGUUUGAGAAUAUACUUUUAGGUAAAUUUUCUUGAUAUAAUAGUAAUUAGAAUUUCAAGUCAAGGUGCAGUUAUAUAUAAGUUAAAUAAUGAAUUACAAUAAGAUUUAUUUAUUACGGAUUGUUAUUGAAAUAUAAUUUGAAGGUGGAUUUAAUUGUAAUUUUAUAUAGAUUAUUAAAAUGAUUAGUAGCUCUAUAAUAUGCACACAUCGCCCG